AACAAGGUGUUAGUGAACCAGCGGAGGGAUCAUUG
rnacentral:rRNA from 1 species